rnacentral:lncRNA from 8 species
GGCACUCCAGUCAGGCUCAAUCAAACACUUAAAUCUGCUGUGUAUGUUCAAUACUUUAUCCAAACUCUUUACUGGCGUCACUCUAUUACGAGGGUCUCAAACCCUUUGAGUUCAGGUGAGUGCUAAAAGCCUGAGACUUAUCUUCCAUUUUUCCAUCUCUUCUCCUUCCCCCUCCAGGCUUGUGGAUGGGAAACGUGGUGGCCCACGACCGAACCGACGACGGACAGCGAAUCGAAUACAACAUUUUCAACGGCAACGAGAACAGCGCCUUCACCAUCAACCGACACACAGGUUGGUACUGCGGGCGUCAGACAGGGGGAGCCCUCCCCUGGCAGCACCGCCACCGUCCAGGUGGUGGACAUCAACGACAACAACCCCACCAUUCCCCCCAUGGAGCCUGUGGUCAUAGCAGAGAACCUCCCAGCGGGCUACAUGGUGAGCGCCAGCGACGUGGACCUCAGCUCCACUGUGACCUACAGUUUUUCGGACAACGCCAGCCGGCUGGGAGCUUCGCCAUCAAUUGCUACACAGGCGUGGUGACCCUGACGCAGAUGCUGGACCGUCAGGAGCAGGCGGUGCACAGGCUGGUGGUGUGGGCCUCGGACUCCCUCCACCUGACCACCUGGUAGGAGUCCUGGGAGAAGACGGGCACGUUGUCGUUGACAUCCAGCACUUGAACCAGGACCUCGGACUCCCUCCAACUGACCACGGCCGAGGUCCUGGUUCCAGUGCUGGAUGUCAACAACAAUGUGCCCGUCUUCUCCCAGGACUCCUACCAGGUAGCUAGAGCUACAAUCUGUCUUUUAAUGAUGGAUUACAAGACAGUUAUAGUUAAGGAACACAAAUCCCUCACCACACAAACAUCUACCUUGUGGUGAGCCUUUCCACAUUAGCAAAAAAGUAUUGUAUAGAUGGCAGAAAUGAAGUCCUUUAAAAUGUAAACAUGACUGACUCACUGAGAGGAUGAGGGGAUUUGUAUGUCAAGUUGGACAAUGUCUGAUCUAUCCAUGUGACACCAUUGUACUCCCUCAAUCUUCAGUGAUGUCUUGUGACUCAAAGUCCUCCUUGAGAUGUUUAUAAAUGUAUGUAUUUUUUCCUGGGAAUUUACAUAAGAUGUCUGUUUGUUUGCACCCCCAGGUGAAGUUGCCAGAACUGUCUCCUGCCAACAUGUAGAUCCUGACUAUGGCUGCCAUAGACCGAGACUCUGGGCUUAACAGCAAACUCGGCUACAAACUCCUCUCGUCUCCUCUAUACGGCUUCUACAUACACCCAGACAACGGUAAGCACUAUUAGAUUUACCAAUUAGAUUCAAGUUAAGUGACGUGAAACGCUACAUGAAUAGCUUUCAUCAGAAUUAGCCU